AUACGUAGGGUGCGAGCGUUAAUCGGAAUUACUGGGCGUAAAGGGUGCGCAGGCGGUUUUGUAAGUCAGAUGUGAAAUCCCCGGGCUUAACCUGGGAAUGGCGUUUGAAACUGCAAGGCUAGAGUGUAGCAGAGGGGAGUGGAAUUCCGCGUGUAGCAGUGAAAUGCGUAGAUAUGCGGAGGAACACCGAUGGCGAAGGCAGCUCCCUGGGCUAACACUGACGCUCAUGCACGAAAGCGUGGGGAGCAAACAGGAUUAGAUACCCUGGUAGUCCACGCCCUAAACGAUGUCAACUAGUUGUCGGGCCUAAUUGAGGGUUUGGUAACGUAGCUAACGCGUGAAGUUGACCGCCUGGGGAGUACGAUCGCAAGAUUAAA
rnacentral:rRNA from 1 species